AAAUCCCAAGAAAAGGUCAGGUUGAUCAUGAGACAUUGGUCAACCCUCAUCCCAAAAAUCAGAAUCUAAAAAUAAUUUUAAGUCAUGAAAAUAAAAUUAAUACAAAUAAGUGUGUUAAAAUGGACUAUUAUAAUUAAAAUAAAAUAUUAACAUUAAAUAAAAUAUGAAAAUAAAAAUUAAAUAAAUUAAAUAAAAUAUUAAAGAAUGUGAAAAAUAUUUUUUGGUAUUUUUGUGAACAAAUAAAAUAUUUUUAUUAAUUAAAAAGCAAAACAGAAA
rnacentral:lncRNA from 1 species